rnacentral:rRNA from 1 species
CUACGAGUGGCUGCAGUGGGGAAUUUUGCGCAAUGGGGGAAACCCUGACGCAGCAAUACCGCGUGAGUGAAGAAGGCCUUUGGGUCGUAAAGCUCUUUUCUUGGGGAAGAUAGUGACGGUACCCAAGGAAUAAGCACCGGCUAACUCCGUGCCAGCAGCCGCGGUAAUACGGAGGGUGCAAACGUUGUUCGGAUUUACUGGGCGUAAAGGGCACGUAGGCGGCACAGCAAGUUAAGGGUGAAAUCCCGGGGCUCAACUCCGGAGCUGCUCUUAAAACUGCUGAGCUAGAGAUAGUCAGAGGCGGGUGGAAUUCCAGGUGUAGAGGUGAAAUUCGUAGAUAUCUGGAGGAACACCGGUGGCGAAGGCGGCCCGCUGGGGCUAUUCUGACGCUAAGGUGCGAAAGCGUGGGGAGCAAACGGGAUUAGAUACCCGAGUAGUC